ACGUAGUGAACUCAGUGCAGGCUUCCUUGUUUACGACUGAACGCCAUCUCAGUAUUGGUCGAAGCUGCAUGUGAUGCUGACACAGGAUCCGGCCAAUAAUAAGCUGGCAUUUGGAUGUAAACAAAGAAGCCUGCACUGAGUUCACUACGUAUGACAACGGUUCAAAUUGUUGAAUAAAGUCGUUAUUUUUGUUUUGUUUUUGCGCACAAAAAGUAUUCUUGUCACUUAGGCUUGCUACGGUAGUCGGUGUUACCGGUGUUUAGUCGCAACACCGGUUUCAUCACUUGCCCACCGCGGCACCGAGGUUAAUUUUUUUCCCCCACUUUAUGCGUUAAAAAUAUUUGCAUUUAAUGCAAUUAAUGGAGUAUCCGUUUCGUUUUCUGCGUUAUAUGAUCAAGCUCUUAUUCAUGCUAAUGCUUUUAAACCAUUCAAGCGCGACAAGGCAAAAGAGAACGCGCUGUCUGUGAACGUCCUGCCUAUGUGACACACACACACACACACACAACGCGCGUGCCAGUAUCGAGUUCUCUUCUGCUCUUAACGAACCGUAACACACACAAAUUAUGCCAAACUGUCCUGUUUUCUAGAGUGUUUUCAGUAAGAGUAACCCACCAUUCAAGCAAUUGCUGUUAAUUUGAAAGUGAAAGUCGGCCUUUCUGUAACAACAUCAAAAGCUCAGCCGAACAGCUGAUCAUAGCUGUACAGGGCAGGUUUUUAUUUUUCAUGUCAAAAACAUUCCUUUUCGCGGAAAGCGCAGUUCAUGGUUGCAUAUCAAUGACAGACGCCACGGGAGCGCAAGCCCUUUGGAAACAAGGAGAAAGCGACAUGGCCGCGCUUUCCACGCGUUUUUAGAGGCAAUAUGUGAAAGGCCCCACAAGCGGUUAAAAAAAAAAAAAGAGGUAGAGGCCCCGCCCCCCAGUGACACCGGUAUUACCAGUGUUGUCACAUGUCAAUUAACCGGUGGGAAAAUUUUCUCACUGUCACAUCCCUAUUGUCACUUCAUAACAUAAGGUUGAACCACUGUAGUCACGUGGACUAUUUUAACCAUGUUUUUAACUACAUUUUCGGACGUCAAAAGGUGCAGUGACGUUGCUGCCUAUGUGUGGGUCAGAUACCCUCGGAUUUCAUCAAAAAUAUCUUAAUUUGUGUUCCGAAGAUAAACAAAGGUCUUACGGGUGUGGACCGACAUGAGGGUGAGUCAUUAAUGACAGAAAUUUCAUUUUUAGGUAAACUAACCCUUUAAUCAAGUAAUCAUCAGCGGUGGCUGGUCCAUAGGGGGCGCUGGGGUGCCGCCCCCUUCAAGUUAGCCAGAGAAGAAGGCUACUUCCAUAGAAAUAUAUACAUAGAUGCCUCAUUAUUGGUAGUUGAAUUGAAGUUUCAUUAAACUUUUUAAAGUUUUAUGAAACUAAUGAAUUUAUAUGCCGUUUUUAUGAAUAAUUACAAUUUUUUUAAUGAUUAAUUUAUGACUGAUAUUAUACCCACAUUAAACUCAAAAUCACUGCUGAUAUUGCGAGGCAGCUGUUCACCUCGAUGAGAAAUAUCACGUUUUAAUAUCGGAUUUUGGUAAUUGGUACAAGAUCUCAUCAUAACCAUAGUUAAACAGGUAAUAUAAAUACAGCCAUUAUAAGACAGGUCAUGACCUCAGUGUAGAUGACAUAAUAUAACUGAACUCAACUGAACUGAACAUUUCAUCUGGAUACUGCAUUGAAUAUAACUUCAUAAUAUAACUUGAAUGUAAUUUGUCUUUUGAAAUGUAUGCUCUUUGACAAUUUCACAUAAUACUGUAAGGUUCAAAAAGAAAUAUGAUAUUAUCAUGACAUUCUAAGAUGGUUUAAUAUGAUGUGUAUUAACUUGAGUGGCAGUGUGCAGUGUGUAAAUUUUAGCGGCAUCUAGCUGUGAGGUUGCGAAUUGCAAUAUGGAGAAGCUAUGGUGGCUAACACAGGACAAGGAUGACGUCGUCUGAGACAGCAGAGAGUAGCCACUCCAGUACCCAUUUAGGGCUACAUGCCAGCGCAAAAUGGCGACUUAACAUGUAAGGGGACCCACGGUGUAGGAAGAGAUGGCUCAUUCUAAGGUAAUAAAAACAUAACGGUUCAUUAUGUAAGUUCUAAAAAUUACACAUUGCACCUUUAACUAACGUUUACAAAGAUUAACAAAUACAGUAACAGGCCUUCAGUGUAAAAAGUUUUUCUAUCAAGUUUACAAACUGUUCCUUUUCCUGUAAAAAGGAAACACAGCAACUUCCGUCCAUUUUAGCAAAGUUUAGCUAACCACAAUUCCCCCUGCAUCUGCUCUUCUGCUUCUCUGGGGUCUUUGUCAAGAAACCACAUAUUGGUCUUCAAACUUCUUCCUGUUUUUGUCUGUGGUGUCACUGAUUCAGUCUUUCACAUCCCUUCUGAAAAUAAAUUAUUUGCCAGUUUUCAGACAAAUUAUUUUGAUGAAAUGCUAACAACUUUCAGUCAGCUAACCAAUCACAAUAAGUCUGAAGUAAACAUUUUCUACAAUUGUACAUUCUAGUGCCUUUCUGAAGGGCAGAAAUGUAAGAAUUUUAAUUUAGGGUAACAAGCAAAUUAAUCUCCCCUUGUCUCUAGCACUUGUUUUUCACCAUGAACUAACUGAACACUAAAAUGCCAAUAUAGUUCCCUGUGCGAAGAGGAAGAAGUGUUUUAACCCAGCAGUUGGGUUAAAUGUUUGACCAACAUGCUGGGCAGUUUUAUUUAACCCAACUAUUGUUUAGAAAUUACUAUAUGGAUGGCAUAAAAUGAACAUGCAUAAACUUUUAAGCAAGCAAUAAUUUUUAAAGUGACAUCUGUUGUACUAGUCAUGAGCUUCACUUUUUGCUUUGUUAUAUCUCCCUCUCAUGGCUCUUUGUUGUAGUUGCACUGAAUUCAAACUUUACAUGGCUGUAAGAUCUUGGUCAAGAAGAAAAAAGAAAACAUCGAACUAGUCUCUCUAUGUGAAUUGUAUGUACACUUUGUCUCCAGGAUUAUUAUCUGCUACAUCCAUCGCAUAAGAUAGGUCCUAUGCGGUUAAAGAACCGGGAACUGUCUGGUACCUAAAACCAAUCUGAAACAAGCUGAAAGGGUUGGCCAGCCAGAACCAGCAGAAGGGUAGAAUGUUUUUUCCAUUACAAAGAGGCUUGUAAAGAGGGCAUUCCUAAAAUACUACUACUAAUAAACUAGGCUAGUGUAAGAUUUUUUAUUUCACCAGGGUAUAUUUCAUAACUUAUCCAUUAACCAGUAGAUAUUUUCAAUUUGAUUGUUGCAGAAAGAUUACUGCUUUGCUAAUAGCCACUGAAACAAAAUGUUUGAAAUGAAACAUGUUUUUCUGAUUUUUUUUUUUUUUUUAACUUGUUA